rnacentral:rRNA from 1 species
UACACUCCUACGGGAGGCAGCAGUGGGGAAUUUUGGACAAUGGGCGAAAGCCUGAUCCAGCAAUGCCGCGUGAGUGAAGAAGGCCUUCGGGUUGUAAAGCUCUUUUGUCAGGGAAGAAACGGUGAAAGCUAAUAUCUUUUGCUAAUGACGGUACCUGAAGAAUAAGCACCGGCUAACUACGUGCCAGCAGCCGCGGUAAUACGUAGGGUGCAAGCGUUAAUCGGAAUUACUGGGCGUAAAGCGUGCGCAGGCGGUUUUGUAAGUCUGAUGUGAAAUCCCCGGGCUCAACCUGGGAAUUGCAUUGGAGACUGCAAGGCUAGAAUCUGGCAGAGGGGGGUAGAAUUCCACGUGUAGCAGUGAAAUGCGUAGAUAUGUGGAGGAACACCGAUGGCGAAGGCAGCCCCCUGGGUCAAGAUUGACGCUCAUGCACGAAAGCGUGGGGAGCAAACAGGAUUAGAUACCCCGGUAGUCCCA